CUUUUCAGAGAGAGCUAGAGUUCUGGGUGUGACUUGGGUUCAGCCAAUUGGAGACGCCUACGCGACCUUUGGAAGGUGGAAGCGACAAGCGUUGUUUGCAGACGUUUGUUUUUUCCGUGGCCAUUUCCAGCGUGUGGGCACCAGGUUCAGACGGAUAAGGAAACUGAAGCCGUGAGAGAACAAGUAACUCUUACAGAAAGGCCCUUACAUGUGGCCCAAGAUCCCACGUCACUGUCAGGUGACAAUUUUCCCUCCCAGGGGAAGCAGAUGGAAUGAAAGAUUGUGAGUGGCUUGUUACGCAACUUAUGCGAGGGCUGCAGCACCAUUCUGCGAAGGAAUGUGAUGACCAGCCAGAGCAGAGAGUCUAUGGGGAUAACCAUCAUCAAUGACAACUGAAUAAUUUGGGUAUAGCUCCAGUCUCUGAUGCGCAUCCAGUAAAACAAAAGACCAGUAGGAACCAAGACCAGAUGUCUGUCACCUGGAGACCAGCUGCCUCCCCAACCUGGAGACCGGCCCCCUAUAUAAUUCACCUGUAGUCUUUGUUCUCUAAGAUGGUUCUUUCAGACAUUAGUCGGCCAUCUUCCCUCUUGCAAGCAAGCUGUAAUAAAAAACCCUUUCUCUCCUACCACCUUGCCUCCUGACUAUUGGCAUGUCUUGCGGUGGGCAGGUGACCCCCCCUUGGGUGGUAACAAUUUGAUCAACCAUGAUUAUGUAAGGAAGCCUCCAUAAAAAACCCUAACUGAGGGAGUUUGGAGAGCGUCCAGAUUGGAGAACACCUGGAGGUGCCAGGAGGGUGAUGAGCCUGGAGAGGCCACGGGAGCUCUGUGCCCUUUCCCCAUGCCUUGUCCUAUGCACCUCUUCCCUCUGGCUCUUCAUGAGUUGUAUCCCUGUAAAAUAAAUCAGUGGUCUUGUUAUGGAAUCAGGUUUGUUUUUGUCCACCACCCAGAAAGCCAAACACCAAGACAAUGAGAUUGCGCAGAGAGAGGGUUUAAUCACAAGGCAGCCAUGUGAGGAAGUGAGAGCAUGCUUCUCAAAUCCGCUUCCCCAAAAACAGGGACUCAGGGAUAUUUAUGGGAUGGGGGGUAAGGUGGUCUGAAACGUGGAGAGAGGGGAUUGGAGGUGAGGAGAGGUGUGGUAAUUGACGAUCUGCGCAAGCGUAGUCAGACUCCACGCCUCUUCAUAGGAUC